UUUUCCCACUUAUUAUUACAUUCAUCUAGACCUGCCAGAAAUGAUUAAAUUAAUGAGGGAGUGUGUGGAGUGUGUCCGGGCAUUGAUGUCCUCGAUUAGGGGGACCCCUUCAUCUGCAGCGUCAUCAUCUUCUGUGGACAGUGAAAUUGAAAUGCAUCCCUUGGCAGGCAGCACAGUGACAGUUUGAAAGAGGGCCUUCCUGCGGCUGAAUAGGUCUCACAUGACCAUUUUUGCCCAGGAGCUGGCUGUGCUGGUAUUCACAAAGGAGGGCCUUGCACAGUCCACCCUAACUGGAAAGUCUGGGAGGGGGGGGCCGCCAAAAACACAGCUUGAUGUUGACAAAGUGCAGGCUAUUACAGACGCUGUUCUUCUAGAGUUUCCACAGACAAGUGUCUCUGAUGUGCGCCGCGGCCAUCAGACGAAAGUGUAACAAUGAGCAGUUCAGCCAAAAAAAAGGAACAUAAUGUGUGGUGUGUGUUUCUGUAUGGUGGGAGGGGUUAGGGGUGCAAUAAUAAGGAAUGUUGUUUUUCAUUGUUCACUAUUUCUCAGUGUUCUGUAAAGUUUAUGUGUAAUGUUUAAGUCUGCUGCCUGAAAUGGACCUAUUUCUACAAGGUUUACUAAAGUACCAAUAUUUGAAAAUGUUUAAAAGCCAUAAUGUAAAUGUUCAUACAUUUGUUGUACCACUGUUAAGAGAUAGUACAAGUUUUUUGUAUAUACAAUGUACUAUUCUAAUUAGGAUAUGGUACAAAUACAUUAAAGUAUAUUUUUUCACCUGGAA